GCGCCCGUACGCCAACUGGGGAGCGGCAUCCUUUAGGUGGAUGUGUGUGUCGGUUCGAAUCCGACCGGGCGUA
rnacentral:tRNA from 1 species